AGCAGCCGCGGUAAUUCCAGCUCCAAUAGCGUAUAUUAAAGUUGUUGCAGUUAAAAAGCUCGUAGUUGAAUUUCGGGGUCAGUAGGCUGGCCGUGCCCCCGGUACGUACUGGUCUAACUGAUUCCUCCUUCCUGAAGAACCGUAAUGCCAUUAAUUUGGUGUUGCGGGGAAACAGGACUGUUACUUUGAAAAAAUUAGAGUGUUUAAAGCAAGCUAACGCUUGAAUACAUUAGCAUGGAAUAAUGAAAUAGGACGAUCGAUCCUAUUUUGUUGGUUUCUAGGAUUGACGUAAUGAUUAAUAGGGAUAGUUGGGGGCAUUAGUAUUCAAUUGUCAGAGGUGAAAUUCUUGGAUUUAU
rnacentral:rRNA from 1 species